CUGCUAUAUGUCGUUGGGCUACUCAAUAAAAAGGUGAUUGAUACAUCAUACAAGAGGGGGAAUCUAACGUGAUAAUAGUCCCAUAACAUUGCUACACUUUUGUUGUCUUUUGCAUACCCACACACAAAUAGAAACCUUCAAGUUACACAGGUCAUCAUACUGUUAUAUGAACUUUCAGAAAAUUAAAACUGCAAUCCAACUCUGCAGCCAUCAUUCAGUCAAAAAUUAUUCCAGCCUAUCAUCAAAGCAUAAGCAAAACCUAGUAUCGAGCCAUUAUUGUACAAAACCAAGUGUCAUCGGUUCAGUAUAGAGGGCUAGAGGCGGACAUGGAGCCAAUUCUAAACCAUGUUCUUAGGAUCAAAACCAAGUGUCAUCAGUUCAGUAUAGAGGCGGACAUGGAGCCAAUUCUAAACCCUGUUCUUAGGAUCCCGCGGUGGAUGAGUUCCCAGCAUCAUUUUUCUUCAUGUCUUCAAACUUAUCAAUGGCGACCUGCAGCUCAUCUGUGCCUCCCACCGCUCUCAUGGUGUAGUAAUACAC
rnacentral:lncRNA from 1 species